CUACAAGUCUGUUAUAUUUGGACGGACAUUGUCGAGCGUACCGUCGUCGCAACAGCACGCGCACUGUAUAUUUACGAGAAAAGAAAACGGCCAAUCGUUAAAUACAUCGCCGCAAAUAUUAUAUCGUGCUGUAAAAUAUCAUAUUAUCGUUGUAAACUGUACUCGAGCGGCUUAUCGAAUUCACGUCCAACAUGUUUAACUUGGGAGGAGCGAUGAAAAAUAUUUCAGCAAAGGCUGAAGGAUUAGUAGAGGAAAAGAAACAUGCCGCAACUGCACUUCUUGAAAAACAAGUCAAAGAAACCGGUGAGUUCUUAUCUAACACGCUCAACGAGGCAGAAGGCAAAGCUGUGAGUGCCGCAGAAGAGGCGAAAAAUGCAGCUGUGGACGGCUUUGACCAGGAGGUCGAGAAACUUGCUGAUAGUGCCUUACAGGAGACUUCUAAACACGAUAUUGGUGGUGGUGGUUUAUUAGGUGGAAUUAAGAACUCAAUUGGUCAUGUUGCUAGUAAAGUGGAGAAUAAUAUCGAAGGUUCGGUGCACAAAUUAGAAGGCGCCGCAAGUGCGGUAACCCAUAAAUUAGACGAUUCGGUUGUCGGUAAGGUAGCGCAUUCGGUAGGUGAUAAGGCCCACCAGGUGACCGAUAAAGUCCACGAAACGGCCGGUGGCAUGAAAAGUACUGUGAAGGGAGUCGCCAAUACGGUGAAAGGAGUCUCCAGUAUGAUUCAAAGCACCACCAACGGAAUGGAGACACCCGCCGCCCCGCCGGCGCCCGCACCCGUGGCCGCGGCUCCGGAACAGCAGUCGACCGUCAACCAGGUGGCGUCCGAGGCCAAGACGCUGGUGGACAAGACCGCCGCCGAGCUGAAACCGGCCCUCGACCAGGCGGUGCACGACAAGAUCAACCCGUUGGCGCAGGACUUGGCCAAGAAGCUGCAGCCGAUCGCGGGCGACGUGUCCGCUCACGUCAACACGGCGCUGGCCGAGGGCGUCAAGCAGUUGAACCCGAUCGUCGACCAAGUGUCGACGUCGGCCAAGGGGUUCGUCGACGAUGCCGCUAAACAGGUGAGCACCGUGGUGGACGACAAGCUCAAGGAGGCCGACCAGUUGUUCAGCGAGAAGCGCGACGCUCUCGGGGAACCGGCCAAGAGCAUGAUGUCAAAGGCCAAGGGAUUGUUCGGCUGUAAGUUAGGUUGCUGUACUAUCAUGUAGGAAAAAAAAUUCUCACACAAAACCCGUGUACGCACAGUCCACACACACUGUCGAUGUAUAUUGCCAGAAUCAAUCAACUACUAAUCACUACAUAUUAUAUGCGUAUAGUGGGAGUAGCGAGUUGGCUAUACAACUGCUAUAGCGUGCUAACUGCUAAAUCAUUUUAAUUUUACUCAUAUUUCAUGAUACCUGCAUAAUAUUCCACAUCUAUACCUACUACUUAUGAUAAACUUUAAGUGGCACAAGCGUUUAAUGUAAUGAUUGUAUCUUUUUUUUCCCUUGACUUUAUGUUACUCGGAAAUCGUAGUCAUUUUAAGGUGCACUCUUGUUUUUCAAUAUUAAUUUUUUUUUACGUCCCAUACGCGACGACUUAUUUUAUAUUAUCGUAAUUAUUAUUAUUAUUAUUAUUAUUAUUAUUAUAUACCUUUUACUAUUAAUUUUUUUUUGUUUUUACGCAUCCUUUUUUAUAUAUCUAGUCGUUCACGGUGUAAUUUACAUUCAUAAAAAAAAUUCAAGUAACCCAUAUCGUAUUUUACAAUUUCUUACAGCUCACGGAUAAAUGCGACGGUGACAAUGUACCGAAACGUCAAUAUUGUAUAAUAAUUCAUAACAUAAUGUUUAAUAAUGUAUAAUAGACACAACUAUAAUAUCGGUCGAGUACACUGAUAAUAAACGAUAUGAUAAUAUUAUUAUUAGCACAAUCGUCCACAGACAUUAUUGUUGUGAUAUUUUUGUUUACUUAAAAUCAUUAUUUGGUAUAAUAUACGAUUAACACGCUUGCUAUUUUUUACAUGAAAUCAUAUA